AUUGAACGCUGGCGGCAUGCCUUACACAUGCAAGUCGAACGGUGACAGGUUAAGCUGACGAGUGGCGAACGGGUGAGUAAUGUAUCGGAACGUGCCCAGUCGUGGGGGAUAACUACUCGAAAGAGUGGCUAAUACCGCAUACGACCUGAGGGUGAAAGCGGGGGACCGUAAGGCCUCGCGCGAUUGGAGCGGCCGAUAUCAGAUUUGCUAGUUGGUGGGGUAAAAGCCCACCAAGGCGACGAUCUGUAGCUGGUCUGAGAGGACGACCAGCCACACUGGGACUGAGACACGGCCCAGACUCCUACGGGAGGCAGCAGUGGGGAAUUUUGGACAAUGGACGCAAGUCUGAUCCAGCCAUGCCGCGUGCGGGAAGAAGGCCUUCGGGUUGUAAACCGCUUUUGCCAGGGAAGAAACGAGUUUCUCUAAUACAGAGACUUAAUGACGGUACCUGAAGAAUAAGCACCGGCUAACUACGUGCCAGCCGCCGCCGUAAGAC
rnacentral:rRNA from 1 species